rnacentral:rRNA from 1 species
CCUACGGGAGGCUGCAGUAGGGAAUAUUGCUCAAUGGGGGAAACCCUGAAGCAGCAACGCCGCGUGGAGGAUGAAGGUUUUCGGAUUGUAAACUCCUUUUGUUAGAGAAGAUAAUGACGGUAUCUAACGAAUAAGCACCGGCUAACUCCGUGCCAGCAGCCGCGGUAAUACGGAGGGUGCAAGCGUUACUCGGAAUCACUGGGCGUAAAGAGCGCGUAGGCGGGAUAGCAAGUCAGAUGUGAAAUCCUAUGGCUUAACCAUAGAACUGCAUUUGAAACUGUUAUUCUAGAGAAUGGGAGAGGUAGGUGGAAUGCUUGGUGUAGGGGUAAAAUCCGUAGAGAUCAAGAGGAAUACUCAUUGCGAAGGCGACCUGCUAGAACAUAACUGACGCUGAUGCGCGAAAGCGUGGGGAGCAAACAGGAUUAGAUACCCCGGUAGUC